AACACCAAAAGAGCAGCAGACAUUUUUUGUACAUUAGCAUUUUGGGCCGUGAAAUUUGGUCACAAAGCGACUUUGCACUAAAAAAUCUAAUUUUUUUCGACGAAAUAAAUAUAAAAAAAAAAAAAAAAACAAACAAGCAACAACUGGCAGCAAAAUGAAAUCAUAAACGAGGCAGUUGAAUAAUGAACAAAAAUUUGUCAAAAAUUGCUAAAAACCAGGCCAACGAACACUAAGGCCAUGGGCCAAGGGUCUUCCUCGAAGCACUCGCAGUGUUUAUGGCCAAAAAAGAAAAAGAAAAAAUAGUGGUAGAAGAAGCAGCAGCAGCAGCAGCAAAGGCAGAGGCAAAAGCCAAAUUUUUUGUGCCCGCCGUUGGCAACAACAACAACAGCAUCCCGUCAUUGGCAGGGGCAGUGGCAGGGGCAGGCAGUAGGCAGCCGGGCUACUAAUGUCGAGCAGUUCGCAGUUCUUUUUGGCCCGUUUUUAUGGUCCUGGGUCCAGUCUCUUUUUAUGAUGCUGCCUCGGCCAAUUUCCGUUUCCGAGUUUUCGACUCGGCAUUUAUGCAAAUACUCAGCGACAGAUGUGUGUGUGUGUGUGUGUGUGUUUGUAAAGUUAAUCCUUUAUGCAUGUGUCGACUGUUCGCAUAGCAGGAAGUUGACAGUUGGUGCCAUAUAUCAUAACUGUGUGUGUGCGUGUGUGUGAGUGUGCGAGUGUGUGUGCCUGUGCGCUGGGAAAUAUUCGGCCUGGGCCUUUCAUGUGACUCACUGACUGCCCAACUAUCCGUCUGUUUGUGUUUUUAUCUAUUUAUUUAUUUGUUUUUAGUACACUUAUGACAUGAUGUUAAUUACUGCGCGUGCAUUCCGAUUGGCUAUGGGAAACACUUUGAAAUGGAAAAGUUCGCCGACUGUUUGCCAAGUGUCAACAGCGGCGUUGCCAGUUGCCAAACGGCCAAGAAAGCUGCCAGUUCCAGACAGAAACAGAACACUAAGUACAACAACAACAACAACAACUAACAACUGUCAACAGACAGACACGCGUGCAACAUGGAGUCGGGAAUUUUGUUCUUGGCCAGGAUAUUUGAUUUAGCCGGUUGACUUUGCAUUUGUCUCGUCUGUUGUUUUUAAGAAUUGGGAAAAUUGACGAAAAAUUGUUGUGUAAAUAUUUUUUAAUUGGCUUUCGUCGGCACAGUAGUGACUUUUACCAUUAGUCCACCGGGUAGAAGUCAAAAAUAACCAAAAAGUGUGCCACUAAGCUGGCCAAGGUCUAUGCCAAAUCCUGCUCCUAGUCGGGGACUUGGUCGGUGUUCGGUUGUGGCUUAAUGCAAUGAUAAUAACAUAUGGAAAAGUUGUUGUUUAAUUGUUGGAUUUGCGGCAUUCGUUAAUGUGUGGUAAAACCGGCAAAGAAAUGAAUGUGGGCAACAGAAGUUGGAAAACUAAGUUCAAGAAAGGAACUUGCUUACAAAUGUUAACGAAUGUUAAAAUAAUAUAAAUAUGCCCAAAUAAUAAACGUACCCUAUUAACAUCAGAUAUGGAAAA